rnacentral:misc_RNA from 1 species
UUUCCGUAGGUGAACCUGCGGAAGGAUCAUUACCGAGCUGUCGACGCGAGCUGUUGCUGGCUCCCAAACGGGGGCAUGUGCACGUUCCGUCAACACAUCCACUCACACCUGUGCACCCUUUGCGGUUCUGUGGUCUGGGAGACCCUCGGUCUCUCUGCCGCGGUUCUGCGUCUUUACACAUACGCCGUAGCAAAGUCUUGUGGAAUGUGUGCCGCGUUUAACGCAAUAAAAUACAACUUUCAGCAACGGAUCUCUUGGCUCUCGCAUCGAUGAAGAACGCAGC